CCAGGGAAGCCCAAGAAUACUGGAGUGGGUAGCCAUUCCCUUCUCCAGGGGAUCUUCCUGACCCAGGGAUCGAACUCAGGUCUCCCGCAUUGCGGGUAGAUUCUUAACUGUCUGAGCCACCCGGGAGCCUCUGGGGACUCAGUUCUGGAACCUCUGGUGGGACUGGCUGCCUCACUGCCUUCUGGGGUCAGAGGUCAGCCCUCGGAACCCCAGAAGGCAGUGAACCGUGGGAAGGGCAGGGUGUUGGUGGUGAGGGUGGCUGGCCCCACCUUUCUAGAUCUGAGCCCCUCGGUGAUGACCCGCCCUCCACCCUCCCCCGCCCAACACAGGCUGGAGCCCCAGAGGAUAUAUUUGACCUCCUCCGCCUCCCGCAGCACUGGCGGGAAGAUGCUGCAGUCACAGAUGGGAAAGCUGACUCCUCUGGGUAAAGUGAUGCACCCAAGGUCACCAGUUCCUCUUCAAGCAAGUCUGUCUACUCUGAGGCCUUGGCUUUACCCACACUGUUCGCUGUGUCCACCCUGCCAGCCUCCGAGAUAAGUGUACAAAUAACUACAUUCCUGUGAAACCGGC